CGCCUACGGGGGGCAGCAGUGGGGAAUAUUGCACAAUGGGGGAAACCCUGAUGCAGCGACGCCGCGUGAGUGAAGAAGUAUUUCGGUAUGUAAAGCUCUAUCAGCAGGGAAGAAGCAAGACGGUACCUGACUAAGAAGCCCCGGCUAACUACGUGCCAGCAGCCGCGGUAAUACGUAGGGGGCAAGCGUUAUCCGGAUUUACUGGGUGUAAAGGGAGCGUAGACGGUAUGGCAAGUCUGAAGUGAAAGCCCAGGGCCCAACCCCGGGACUGCUUUGGAAACUGCCAUGCUGGAGGGCUGGAGAGG
rnacentral:rRNA from 1 species